rnacentral:rRNA from 1 species
AUACGUAGGGCGCGAGCGUUGUCCGGAAUUACUGGGCGUAAAGGGCGCGUAGGCGGGAAAUUAAGUCAGGUGUGAAAACUCCGGGCUCAACUUGGAGAUUGCACUUGAAACUGGUAUUCUUGAGGGCAGGAGAGGAAAGUGGAAUUCCUAGUGUAGCGGUGAAAUGCGUAGAUAUUAGGAGGAACACCAGUGGCGAAGGCGACUUUCUGGACUGCACCUGACGCUGAGGCGCGAAAGCGUGGGUAGCGAACGGGAUUAGAUACCCCGGUAGUCCACGCUGUAAACGAUGGGUACUAGGUGUAGGAGGUAUCGACCCCUUCUGUGCCGCAGUUAACGCAAUAAGUACCCCGCCUGGGGAGUACGGCCGCAAGGUUGAA